CAGGGAACUGUCAAUUUUUUUUGCGAGAUUCAAACAUUCAGCCCAGCAGCUUUUAAAGAUUUCAGGUGAAGUGAAUCAGCCAGACGAGAUGUCGCUGCAGAAACUGGAAGAGAUUAAUGAUGAACUUCAACAAGGCAUCAAGGGACUGAACUCAGAAUUCAACAAAAACCAUGACACUCUCAAGAGGAAAAUAAAGGAGCUGAAAGACGUCUCCAAGGAACUUGAAGAAAUGCACAAAAGUACUACAGUGGGCAGUUUGGUCGGAUCAACAAUUGGAGUGACUGGAGGAGCCAUAGCACUAGUGGGUCUGGGUUUAUCAUUUUUCACAUUUGGUGCUUCUUUAGCUCUUUCUGCUAUUGGUGGUGCUGUUGGAAUAGCUGGAGGAGUUACAGGUGCAACAUUUAACAUCAUUAACAUGUUUAAACAGAAAAAACUACGUGAGACUAUUGAGAAUAUCAUUAAAGAUUUCCAGAAAACAAUCAAUCCAAUGAUUCAGCAUCUGAAUACAAUUUCUAACAAAAUAGAACAGCUUCAGCAGGAGGGGCAGAAGUAUUCUGUGCUUAAUAAAACAUUAAUGACCAGUGUGAGAUCAGUGAAAACCUGUUCCAGCAUUGGAAAACUUUUAACUGUACUGCAAACUGCUACACUUGGGAGAACAGCUGCAAAAGCUGUCAGAAGUCUUAAAGUGGUUGGGAAAAUAACCGGCACAAUCUCAACUCUCUUUCUCGCUCUUGAUGUUUACAGUAUUUAUUGUGAUUCUGUAGAGAUCUCUGAAUUAAAUCAACCCGAAAAAGAGAGAAAAGCAGAUGAAAUCAAAUCAGAAACUUUAAAAUUUAUUAAUGAAAUGAAAAAAACAGCUGAUCAGUUUCAGGUGACUCUAGAUGAGAUUAAAAGUGCCAGAGAUGAUAUUAUCAGAGAUUUACAGUUCAGUUGAAAAUCAGCCUGAAAUAAAAUCUUCCAUCUGCAUUUCAUGUGCACUGUGACGGUGGUACACCUUAGACUAGUAAAAAUAUUUCAAUAUUAGUUUAGGUGCCAGACAGGUUUAAGCCUGUCAAUGUUUUAAAUUAACUUCCUAGGAUAUCUCAAAAUUACCACCAAUCAUGAAUUUACAGUAUUAAAAGAAAAAUUAAACACUCAUCAACUAUAAAGAAUAAAGUUAAAGAGGCAGUAGGAUGAGUUUUUGUAUUGACAUGUAUAAGACCAAAUUCACAUCAAACCAUCAUCAUCACCAAUGUCAGGAGGAAGAGAGGACAAAUAAAGAAUAAUUAAUAUUGAGAAUCAAAUAAAACACACAAAGAAAAGAAUUUAACUAAUAAGUCUCACUAAGUUAGGUUUGCUUCCAACAACUCAACUCAACUCAACUUUAUUUAUAUAGCGCUUUUUACACUUUUCAUUGUUACAAAGCAGCUGUACAUGAGACACAUUUAAUACAAGUAUGAAUUCUAAAGCAGCCCCCCCGGCCAGGCAGAUAGUGCAAACAAGUAUUACAGUUUGAGCAUAACUGCUCUCUAACACCCUGAGAAACUAUAUCAUUCAUCAAUGUAGGUGUGUGUUUGCGUUAUGUUACUGUGUGUUCGGUUCGACUAGCGUGUCAACAUUUAUUCUGAAUUAAAUAACUCUAUUUUUCAUAGUCUUGUAUCUUGUUUUCUGGUUCAGUAGGACUGUGGAUAAUCUCUAUUUGGACACAGUCUUUGUAAAACUGUUCUCGAAAUUAUUUUGAAGUUGCCUGUUUUGUUGUACAUGUUACUAUAUUGUAGUGUUAAGUCAAAUUAAAUAAAGACCGCUGGUUUUCCAGCUGAUGUAAAUAUCAACACCAAAAUAUCUCUUAUGAAAUUUAGCUUGUGUGCACUCCAAAUAAAUAUACAUCUGAUCUCAACAACAGAUUGUUCGAAGUGUGAGAUCUUUAUUAUGUAAACAAAUGAGAAUGUUUGAAAUCACCCAAGAUAGUUUAUAAAAGAUUCGGUGUUGUGUGUGUCAAAGGUGUGUGUGUGGUCUUUGGCUGUAUCAAUUAUUGUUGUAUCAAUAAUACAAACACAAUACAUAUUUGCAUACACUUUGGCAGGUGAGUCAAGUGAUGAGUCACAAAGAAAGGAUCAGGCAGUAAAUAAAGAAGGAGAGAGAGAACAAAGAGAAGAUGUGAAUGAAAAGAGCAAUGAACAGAAAGAAUGAUAAGUUGAAGAGUUAAUACAAGAUUAGGAGAGAAGGAGAAGGUUCUGAAGAGUGGAGCGAUACAGAAAGAGAGGUAGAGAGAAAGAGCAGUGGAGACAGAAAAAGUCCACGGGUGCUGCAAUGCCUCUGGACACAGAAGACUCUCUGAGAACAUCUCUGAGAAUAAUCAUUGAAACAUUUCUGUUUGGAGUGGAUUGUGUUAUGUUAACAAUAAACAAAUUAUACUCUUUUGUAUUUUUAUUUCUAGUCUGAAUCUUUCUUCACAUUUAACUUGAUUCUAAUGCUUUAUAAACUGCUUGUCAAAUAAUUACUUCGAGCACACUGAAAUGGUUUUGGGGCAUACCCAGUACCCAACCCCCCCAGCAAAAUACAAUUUUGGACCUCAGUAGAUGUAAAUCCUGUGUACGGCUCUGAGUUCACAAUACAUACUGCCAUUUUGUUAAACUAAGAAUUCUUUAUUUAGAUAGCACUUCUCUAUAACAGUGCAGUGUACCACAAUGUAGAGCAUCUGCUGAGUGUUAGGACCCACUCAUGAACUCGAGUCUCCGGUGUGAGAAACCGUUGCUUAACUGAAUGAGCCACAAGGGGUUGGUAGAACCCAGAAGAUGAGGCUGACAGUAAUACCUGAGAUGACUUUUAAUAUAAAAUGACAGAGGGAGACUAGCCACCAUUUCCUCUGCUACCCGAUGUCUG